GCUCUAGUAGCUCAGUGGCUAGAGCGUGUGGCUGUUAACCACAAGGUCGGAGGUUCGAUACCUCCCUGGAGCG